AGGAGAGAUGGUGUUUUGACUU
rnacentral:miRNA from 1 species